GUUAUAUGGUCAAGUGAAGAAGCGCAUACGGUGGAUGCCUUGGCAGUCAGAGGCGAUGAAAGACGUGGUAGCCUGCGAAAAGCUUCGGGGAGUCGGCAAACAGACUGUGAUCCGGAGAUGUCUGAAUGGGGGAACCCAGCCAUCAUAAGAUGGUUAUCUUGUACUGAAUACAUAGGUGCAAGAGGCGAACCAGGGGAACUGAAACAUCUAAGUACCCUGAGGAAAAGAAAUCAACCGAGAUUCCCUUAGUAGUGGCGAGCGAACGGGGACCAGCCCUUAAGUUGUAUUGAGAUUAGCGGAACGUUCUGGAAAGGACGGCCAUAGUGGGUGAUAGCCCUGUACGCGAAAAUCCCUUUGCAAUGAAAUCGAGUAGGACGGGGCACGAGAAACCUUGUCUGAAUAUGGGGGGACCAUCCUCCAAGGCUAAAUACUACUGACUGACCGAUAGUGAACCAGUACCGUGAGGGAAAGGCGAAAAGAACCGCGGAGAGCGGAGUGAAAUAGAUCCUGAAACCGUAUGCGUACAAGCAGUGGGAGCCCACUUUGUUGGGUGACUGCGUACCUUUUGUAUAAUGGGUCAGCGACUUAUUUUCAGUGGCGAGCUUAACCGAAUAGGGGAGGCGUAGCGAAAGCGAGUCUUAAUAGGGCGUCUAGUCGCUGGGAAUAGACCCGAAACCGGGCGAUCUAUCCAUGGGCAGGUUGAAGGUUGGGUAACACUAACUGGAGGACCGAACCGACUACCGUUGAAAAGUUAGCGGAUGACCUGUGGAUCGGAGUGAAAGGCUAAUCAAGCUCGGAGAUAGCUGGUUCUCCUCGAAAGCUAUUUAGGUAGCGCCUCAUGUAUCACUGUAGGGGGUAGAGCACUGUUUCGGCUAGGGGGUCAUCCCGACUUACCAAACCGAUGCAAACUCCGAAUACCUACAAGUGCCGAGCAUGGGAGACACACGGCGGGUGCUAACGUCCGUCGUGAAAAGGGAAACAACCCAGACCGUCAGCUAAGGUCCCAAAGUCAUGGUUAAGUGGGAAACGAUGUGGGAAGGCUUAGACAGCUAGGAGGUUGGCUUAGAAGCAGCCACCCUUUAAAGAAAGCGUAAUAGCUCACUAGUCGAGUCGGCCUGCGCGGAAGAUGUAACGGGGCUCAAACCAUGCACCGAAGCUACGGGUAUCAUCUUUUGAUGAUGCGGUAGAGGAGCGUUCUGUAAGCCUGUGAAGGUGAGUUGAGAAGCUUGCUGGAGGUAUCAGAAGUGCGAAUGCUGACAUGAGUAACGACAAUGGGUGUGAAAAACACCCACGCCGAAAGACCAAGGUUUCCUGCGCAACGUUAAUCGACGCAGGGUUAGUCGGUCCCUAAGGCGAGGCUGAAAAGCGUAGUCGAUGGAAAACAGGUUAAUAUUCCUGUACUUCUGGUUAUUGCGAUGGAGGGACGGAGAAGGCUAGGCCAGCCUGGCGUUGGUAGUCCAGGUUUAAGGUGGUAGGCUGAGAUCUUAGGUAAAUCCGGGAUCUUAAGGCCGAGAGCUGAUGACGAGUGUUCUUUUAGAACAUGAAGUGGUUGAUGCCAUGCUUCCAAGAAAAGCUUCUAAGCUUCAGGUAACCAGGAACCGUACCCCAAACCGACACAGGUGGUUGGGUAGAGAAUACCAAGGCGCUUGAGAGAACUCGGGUGAAGGAACUAGGCAAAAUGGCACCGUAACUUCGGGAGAAGGUGCGCCGGUGGAGGUGAAGCAUUUACUGCGUAAGCCCCUGCCGGUCGAAGAUACCAGGCCGCUGCGACUGUUUAUUAAAAACACAGCACUCUGCAAACACGAAAGUGGACGUAUAGGGUGUGACGCCUGCCCGGUGCCGGAAGGUUAAUUGAUGGGGUUAGCGCAAGCGAAGCUCUUGAUCGAAGCCCCGGUAAACGGCGGCCGUAACUAUAACGGUCCUAAGGUAGCGAAAUUCCUUGUCGGGUAAGUUCCGACCUGCACGAAUGGCGUAACGAUGGCGGCGCUGUCUCCACCCGAGACUCAGUGAAAUUGAAAUCGCUGUGAAGAUGCAGUGUAUCCGCGGCUAGACGGAAAGACCCCGUGAACCUUUACUAUAGCUUUGCACUGGACUUUGAAUUUGCUUGUGUAGGAUAGGUGGGAGGCUUUGAAGCGUGGACGCCAGUCUGCGUGGAGCCAACCUUGAAAUACCACCCUGGCAACUUUGAGGUUCUAACUCAGGUCCGUUAUCCGGAUCGAGGACAGUGUAUGGUGGGUAGUUUGACUGGGGCGGUCUCCUCCUAAAGAGUAACGGAGGAGUACGAAGGUGCGCUCAGACCGGUCGGAAAUCGGUCGUAGAGUAUAAAGGCAAAAGCGCGCUUGACUGCGAGACAGACACGUCGAGCAGGUACGAAAGUAGGUCUUAGUGAUCCGGUGGUUCUGUAUGGAAGGGCCAUCGCUCAACGGAUAAAAGGUACUCCGGGGAUAACAGGCUGAUACCGCCCAAGAGUUCAUAUCGACGGCGGUGUUUGGCACCUCGAUGUCGGCUCAUCACAUCCUGGGGCUGAAGCCGGUCCCAAGGGUAUGGCUGUUCGCCAUUUAAAGUGGUACGCGAGCUGGGUUUAGAACGUCGUGAGACAGUUCGGUCCCUAUCUGCCGUGGACGUUUGAGAUUUGAGAGGGGCUGCUCCUAGUACGAGAGGACCGGAGUGGACGAACCUCUGGUGUUCCGGUUGUCACGCCAGUGGCAUUGCCGGGUAGCUAUGUUCGGAAAAGAUAACCGCUGAAAGCAUCUAAGCGGGAAACUUGCCUCAAGAUGAGAUCUCACUGGAACCUUGAGUUCCCUAAAGGGCCGUCGAAGACUACGACGUUGAUAGGUUGGGUGUGUAAGCGCUGUGAGGCGUUGAGCUAACCAAUACUAAUUGCCCGUGAGGCUUGACCAUAUAACACCCAAGCAAUU
rnacentral:rRNA from 2 species